CCACAAACAAUUCCAAUGAAGAACACAUAAAACUCAAUCUCAGCAAAAUCAAUAGAACAAAGUGCAAAAUCAACAGACAAUUCCAAACACCACAAAUUCAACCAAAAUGCAACAAAAAAAAUCCAAUCUUUAUCUCUUCAAAGCUUCGAAGCUUCAUCCCCUCCGUGAGCGUUCUGAAGCCAAGAUCCGCCCUGAGAUUUGCAGAGAUCGGUGUUUUGGGGCUGGGGUUGCGUGGCUGAUUUGCAGAGAUUGGUGCGACCGCUGGGGAGGCGGUUCGUUCGCGAAAUUUGGGAGCGGUCGCGGGUUUUGCACUCGGCCGCUGCAAAUCGGGCACCGGCACUACGAGCUCGACUCG
rnacentral:lncRNA from 1 species